UGGGGAAUUUUGGACAAUGGGGGCAACCCUGAUCCAGCAACGCCGCGUGAGGGAUGAAGGUCUUCGGAUUGUAAACCUCUUUUGUGAGGGAAGAACUGUCACGUGAAGAACGCGAUUUGACGGUACCUCGCGAAUAAGCCACGGCUAACUUCGUGCCAGCAGCCGCGGUAAUACGAAGGUGGCAAGCGUUACUCGGAAUUACUAGGUGUAAAGCGCAGGUAGGUGGUUGGAUAAGUCUGUUAUGAAAUCUCCCGGCUUAACUGGGAGCGGUUAAUGGAUACUGUCCGGCUCGAGUGUGGGAGAGGUAACUGGAAUUCCAGGUGUAGCGGUGAAAUGCGUAGAUAUCUGGAGGAACACCAAUGGCGAAAGCAGGUUACUGGCCCAAUACUGACACUGAGCUGCGAAAGCUAGGGGAGCAAACAGGAUUAGAUACCCCCGUAGUCCCUGAGCGGGCUGGCAAGGCGCAU
rnacentral:rRNA from 1 species